rnacentral:tRNA from 1 species
GCCCGGACGGUUGGGAGCGGUCUUAAACCCCCUUGUACGAACGUACGUACGGGUUCGAACCCCGUCCCGGGCACCA